rnacentral:lncRNA from 1 species
CGGUCCCCUUCCACGCUGUGGAAGCUUUGUUCUUUCACUCUUCACAGUACAUUUUGCUCCCUCUUUGGAUCUGUACUACCUUUAUGAGCUGUAACACUCACUGUGAAGGUAUGCAGCUUCACUCCUGAAGUCAGACCACGAACCCACCCAGGGGGGGAACAAACAACUUCAGACAUGCCACCUUUAAGAGCUGUAACACUCACUGUGAAGGUCUGUGGUUUCAUUCCUGAAGUCAGCAAGACCAUGAACACACCCAAAGGAAGGAACUCUGGACACAUCUGAACGUCUGAAGGAACAAACUCCAGACACACCAUCUCUAAGAACUGUAACACUCACCACGAGGAUCCACAGCUUCAUUCUUGAAGUCAGCGAGACAAAGAACCCACCGGAAGGAACCAAUUCUGGGCACAAUGGGGACGUACCCAGGAGAAUAGGAAACUUACAAAAUUGUUGGAAAUGUGAUUCUAGUGCCCAUUAUGUCACACUCUUGUGUUGUUUCUCUGAGAGUUGCACUAAGAAAGUUCAAAUACCUGUUGGCUUCCAUAGACUAAAUUCGGGCUGAUAACGAGAAGGGUUCCUGACCAAGGGGAGUAAAGGAGAUGGAAUGAAGCUUGUGUGCUGUACUUCAAGUCAUGCAUCCAGUACCAUUUUCCUGCACAUAAAGCGCUAUCUAUUCAUUAAGAUUUCUAGUUGCAGAGCUGGAUCCAUCCAUAAAAAGAACCAUUUUUCUAAUUUAUAGAAAGAUGUCUCAUGGCCUAGAAAC